CACACCCUCUGUCCCCCGGCUCAUCAUGCCUGGCUCCCGCACACCCUCCCCACAGCCAUGGUGCUUGCAGUGGUGCCUCUCAUCCUCCUGGCUGCAGGCAGAUGGUUUGCCAUCAGGAAAGGUGCCUGCAGAGGGAGAUGCCCAAGGUGAGCACCAAGGGCUCCUGGUUGUGGGGUUUGUGGGAGGGAGUGGGGGGCAUGGUGGGACCCUGGGGUGCUGCAUGUUCAGGGAAAUUCCCUGUGCAGAAGGCAGAAAGCAUGGGGCUUAUUGUGGGAUGCACUCCAUCUCAAUGCCAAAUGCAGGAAAGCAACACCAAAGGGCAUAAGCUUCAUGACCCCUCCUCAGCACAUGCACAUCCCAGAACCAUUCCAUUCCUCUCCAGGCAGCAACAAGUUGACAGCCCGCAGACGGAAGAUGCCAGCUAUGGUGACAUCCAGUACUCCACCAUCGCCCAUAUUCGACGGGACAGGCCUCGUCCCAUGCAUCAAAUGAGAAACAUCAUGACAUAUGCCACGGUGACCCACACUCAGACCAAAUAGCGCUGCCACAGGGCAAGGGCACAGGAGCCUUGCCCACAGCUGCCUUUGGCCUCCUGCAGAGGGCUCAUGGAGCCAUAACGUGGGGCUAGGGGGUGCACUUUGGUCUUCUUAGGGGUUUGUUUUCUCAGAGAAGGGCUGUGUGUGUCUAGCCAAGAAGAUGUAGGACUCACACCUCCAUCUACAAGACAUUAAUACUUCUAAAAUAUAUGACCUAUACCAAAUCUUACUGUGACUGUAUUGAUUUUUUCUCAACAAAAGAAAACAUCUCGCUGUGCUCAGUGGAUGAUGUGUAUACCUAAGUUGCAUUAUAAUGCCAUGGGGGUGUUAUUCUACCCACCCACAGAGAUGCCCAUUUUUGACCUACAUGGACAGAUAUCACUGCAGGCA
rnacentral:lncRNA from 1 species